UUUUUUUUUUUUUUUUUUCUAUCUGGCAAAUAAUGACAGCCUGAACUGUUGGAGACGGAGUACUCAUAUUACAGAAUGUUCCAAUUUAAAAGGAACUGGGUCUGACAAUCAACUGAAUAGAACUUUGUCCCUUUCUGGGCUUUUUAAUAUGCAAGAAUGGUGUACUUGACUAGAAAAACAAUUCAGUACACGUGCUUACUGUGUGGAUGAGUUUUUAGCCAUUGGAUCAAUUGAAAG
rnacentral:misc_RNA from 1 species